GUCAGGAUGGCCGAGUGGUCUAAGGCGCCAGACUCAAGGAUCAGCUCCUUCCGUAUGAACGGGAAUUCUGGUCUCCGAAUGGAGGCGUGGGUUCAAAUCCCACUUCUGACA
rnacentral:tRNA from 1 species